GACGAACGAGGGAGGAGGGAGGUACACAUGCAAGUCGAACGAGCGAGAGAGAGCUUGCUUUCUUGAGCGAGUGGCGAACGGGUGAGUAACGCGUGAGGAACCUGCCUCAAAGAGGGGGACAACAGUUGGAAACGACUGCUAAUACCGCAUAAGCCCACGACCCGGCAUCGGGUUGAGGGAAAAGGAGCAAUCCGCUUUGAGAUGGCCUCGCGUCCGAUUAGCUAGGUGGUGAGGUAACGGCCCACCAAGGCGACGAUCGGUAGCCGGACUGAGAGGUUGAGCGGCCACAUUGGGACUGGGACACGGCCCAGACUCCUACGGGAGGCAGCAGUGGGGAAUAUUGCACAAUGGGGGAAACCCUGAUGCAGCGACGCCGCGUGGAGGAAGAAGGUCUUCGGAUUGUAAACUCCUGUUGUUGAGGAAGAUAAUGACGGUACUCAAAAAGGAAGUGUCGGCUAACUACGUU
rnacentral:rRNA from 1 species